rnacentral:rRNA from 1 species
CGGGUGAGUAACACGUGGGUAACCUGCCCCGAUGAUUGGGACAACCCGAGGAAACUCGGGCUAAUACCGAAUGUGCCCUACAGCUUCAAGGCUGGUGGGGAAAGGAAGCUUCGGCCUCCGCAUCGGGAUGGGCCCGCGGCCCAUUAGCUUGUUGGUGAGGUAACGGCUCACCAAGGCAACGAUGGGUAGCUGGUCUGAGAGGACGAUCAGCCACACUGGGACUGAGACACGGCCCAG